CUUUCUUCAGUUGGAGACUGAGGUUGAAGACCAGUUGCAUUGACCGCACAGUUCAGCUGCACAUGUUUUGAGUUGCCUUGGAGACACUGAGCAGUGGAGGUGGAGGCAAGGUGUUGAGAGCGACAGGUAUUAGGGGAGAGGCCUAAACUAUGGAAGAAGGCCUUUAGCUCAUCAGCUCUCCCUGUCUCCACACACCCAGAACUGUCCACCACUUUGCUGCACCCGGCGAUUGCUCUCAUGGCCUUCUAGACCUCACACCGAAUGAUGACCAUGUAACCCGGAGUGGCUCCAAGAGAGUUGAUGAAGGAGCUGAGGACAGAAACGGCCAUGUAGGAGGUGAAACUGCGGCUGCAGUCCUUUGCAUGAGGACACUGGCCCAGCUUCACCGACGAGGAGGUGCCGGCUGAAGAGGAUGUGGACACACAGCUGCAGUUGUGAAAGACCUGGAAAAGACAUGAGAUGACACCAACAUGACAAAAUUAUGGUUGCAUGAGUGAACUAAUGCUGCAAAAUGUGAAAAAUUUGAGACAGCCUGCCAUGCAUGGAGAGAUGUACGUGAUUCCACUGUCUGAGCAGACAGGGUCCCACUCGUCUGCUGAACAUGAGCAGUCUCUGUUGCACUCGGAAAAGAGCGCUCCUGCAUCAUAUGAUAAACUCUGUGUUCUGCG